rnacentral:rRNA from 1 species
UACAGAGGGGGCAAGCGUUGUUCGGAAUUACUGGGCGUAAAGGGCGCGUAGGCGGCCUGCUAAGUCGAACGUGAAAUCCCUGGGCUCAACCCAGGAACUGCCUUUGAUACAGCAUGUCUUGAGUCCGAUAGAGGUGGGUGGAAUUCCUAGUGUAGAGGUGAAAUUCGUAGAUAUUAGGAAGAACACCGGUGGCGAAGGCGGCCCACUGGAUCGGUACUGACGCUGAGGUGCGAAAGCGUGGGGAGCAAACAGG